GAUGAACGCUAGCGGCAGGCUUAACACAUGCAAGUCGAGGGGUAUAGUUCUUCGGAAUUAGAGACCGGCGCACGGGUGCGUAACGCGUAUGCAAUCUACCUUUCACAGAGGGAUAGCCCCAGAGAAAUUUGGAUUAAUACCUCAUAGUAUAGCAGUUUCGCAUGAAACCACUAUUAAAGUCACAACGGUGAAAGAUGAGCAUGCGUCCCAUUAGCUAGUUGGUAAGGUAACGGCUUUACCAAGGCAACGAUGGGUAGGGUCCUGAGAGGGAGAUCCCCCACACUGGUACUGAGACACGGACCAGACU
rnacentral:rRNA from 1 species